AGUCGAGCGAUGGAUUGAGAGCUUGCUCUCAUGAAGUUAGCGGCGGACGGGUGAGUAACACGUGGGUAACCUGCCCAUAAGACUGGGAUAACUCCGGGAAACCGGGGCUAAUACCGGAUAAUAUUUUGAACUGCAUGGUUCGAAAUUGAAAGGCGGCUUCGGCUGUCACUUAUGGAUGGACCCGCGUCGCAUUAGCUAGUUGGUGAGGUAACGGCUCACCAAGGCAACGAUGCGUAGCCGACCUGAGAGGGUGAUCGGCCACACUGGGACUGAGACACGGCCCAGACUCCUACGGGAGGCAGCAGUAGGGAAUCUUCCGCAAUGGACGAAAGUCUGACGGAGCAACGCCGCGUGAGUGAUGAAGGCUUUCGGGUCGUAAAACUCUGUUGUUAGGGAAGAACAAGUGCUAGUUGAAUAAGCUGGCACCUUGACGGUACCUAACCAGAAAGCCACGGCUAACUACGUGCCAGCAGCCGCGGUAAUACGUAGGUGGCAAGCGUUAUCCGGAAUUAUUGGGCGUAAAGCGCGCGCAGGUGGUUUCUUAAGUCUGAUGUGAAAGCCCACGGCUCAACCGUGGAGGGUCAUUGGAAACUGGGAGACUUGAGUGCAGAAGAGGAAAGUGGAAUUCCAUGUGUAGCGGUGAAAUGCGUAGAGAUAUGGAGGAACACCAGUGGCGAAGGCGACUUUCUGGUCUGUAACUGACACUGAGGCGCGAAAGCGUGGGGGAGCAAACAGGAUUAGAUACCCUGGUAGUCCACGCCGUAAACGAUGAGUGCUAAGUGUUAGAGGGUUUCCGCCCUUUAGUGCUGAAGUUAACGCAUUAAGCACUCCGGCCUGGGGAGUACGGCCGCAAGGCUGAAACUCAAAGGAAUUGACGGGGGCCCCGCACCAACCGGUGGAGCAUGUGGUUUAAUUCGAAGCAACGCGAAGACCUUACCAGGUCUUGGACAUCUUCUGAAAACCCUAAAGAUAAGGCUAUCUCCCUCAGGAGCAGAGUGACAAGUGAUGCAUGAUUGUCGUCCGCUCUCCGUACCCUGAAAUGUUGGACUAGACCCGCCAACGAGCGCCACCCUUUGACCUAUUGGCAAUCAUAAUUGGCCACUCUAAGGUACAUGCGCCGCUGCACAAACCGGAGGAGGUGGG
rnacentral:rRNA from 1 species